GCCCCGAGGUGAUUGGCAUGUUGAAUUGCAAAUUCAAAGGAGCAGUAUCAAGUCUCUGCCGGGGCUUC
rnacentral:tRNA from 1 species